rnacentral:ncRNA from 2 species
GGGUGACCCCGUUCGACAGGUUCCCGCCCGGGCGGGACGAAAAGGGAAUGCGACGGACACCGUCCCCAUCGCAGCCGACCCCGCGACUGUAGAGCGGCGAGGAACGAAGCCAAGCCGGCCAGACCGGCGGCCACUGGACCCAUGGGUUCGGGAAGGCGGCUUCGACGCCUUUGACCCGCGAGCCAGGAGACCUGCCUGUCGGCAAGGGCAUUC